UGGGGAAUAUUGCACAAUGGGCGCAAGCCUGAUGCAGCGACGCCGCGUGGGGGAUGACGGCCUUCGGGUUGUAAACUCCUUUCGCUAGGGACGAAGCGCAAGUGACGGUACCUGGAGAAGAAGCACCGGCUAACUACGUGCCAGCAGCCGCGGUAAUACGUAGGGUGCGAGCGUUGUCCGGAAUUACUGGGCGUAAAGAGCUCGUAGGUGGUUUGUCGCGUCGUUUGUGUAAGCCCGCAGCUUAACUGCGGGACUGCAGGCGAUACGGGCAUAACUUGAGUGCUGUAGGGGAGACUGGAAUUCCUGGUGUAGCGGUGGAAUGCGCAGAUAUCAGGAGGAACACCGAUGGCGAAGGCAGGUCUCUGGGCAGUAACUGACGCUGAGGAGCGAAAGCAUGGGUAGCGAACAGG
rnacentral:rRNA from 1 species